AACGAACGCUGGCGGCAUGCCUAACACAUGCAAGUCGAACGAGACCUUCGGGUCUAGUGGCGCACGGGUGCGUAACGCGUGGGAACCUGCCCUUAGGUUCGGAAUAACUCCCCGAAAGGGGUGCUAAUACCGGAUAAUGUCUUCGGACCAAAGAUUUAUCGCCUUUGGAUGGGCCCGCGUUGGAUUAGCUAGUUGGUAGGGUAAAAGCCUACCAAGGCGACGAUCCAUAGCUGGUCUGAGAGGAUGAUCAGCCACACUGGGACUGAGACACGGCCCAGACUCCUACGGGAGGGAGCAGUGGGGAAUAUUGGACACUGGGCGAAAGCCUGAUCCAGCAAUGCCGCGUGAGUGAUGAAGGCCUUAGGGUUGUAAAGCUCUUUUACCCGGGAUGAUAAUGACAGUACCGGGAGAAUAAGCUCCGGCUAACUCCGUG
rnacentral:rRNA from 1 species